CCUACGGGUGGCAGCAGUGAGGAAUAUUGGUCAAUGGGCGCAAGCCUGAACCAGCCAUGUAGCGUGCGGGAUGAAGGCCCUACGGGUUGUAAACCGCUUUUGCACGGGGAUAACACCCUCCACUUGUAGCGGUCUGCAAGUACCGUACGAAUAAGGAUCGGCUAAUUCCGUGCCAGCAGCCGCGGUAAUACGGAGGGGCCGAGCGUUAUCCGGAUUUAUUGGGCUUAAAGGGUGCGUAGGCGGUUUGUUAAGUUAGGGGGGAAAUGUGGGGGCUCAACCCCGCAACCGCCGUUGAAACUGUAGGACUAGAGAACAGAACAGGCAGGCGGAAUGCGUGGUGUAGCGGUGAAAUGCAUAGAGAUCA
rnacentral:rRNA from 1 species